rnacentral:lncRNA from 1 species
GAGACCUCAGAUCCUUCAUAGCUACGAAGUCCUGUGACCUUUUCUUCUUUAUAUAAGAUGUCCAAAUCAUCAUAAUAAGGUACGGGCCUUGAGCGAUACCCUCUUAAAUUAGGAUUUGCCUACAAGUAAACAAAACACCUUCAUUAAUUUUUUUAACAGGUUACAUUCUCUGAGAAUAUAUACUAUACUUUUCUUAAUGUUAUAAUUGAUCUUAGAGCAAUUUCAUCCAGACAUUUAUCUAAUUGACUGUAAUAAAUAAUUAAGUUCAUCCAGUUCAUACAGAAGUCUAGUUGGUUCAUUGUGUCACAUAGACAGGCACACAACAGAGGUAGAUCGACCGAACACACAAAUGUUCAAGCAUCACAAUUAAAUAGUCCUAUGAAACAAAAAAUUACAUACGGAAAUAUCACAAUAAAUCCUAAAAAUUGGAAGAUAUAUAACAACAGAUGUAAGACUGACAGUGUGAAUGUGUAUAAUUCAUACCCAGUAACCCUACAAGGCUACAGCAUGUAUAUUCUCAAGUCAAUGCUUGAAAACAAUCCAAAUAAAUCAAUUAUAGUGAUGUUAGCAAUUUUAAUCAAAUAAAUCAAUUAUAAUACCUCUAUGAACUCUUUCCAAGCCUCGUCAUCCGCUGUGAACAGUUGAGUGUUGGGAUUCCAGCCAAAGCCGCUUUUUUCUUUGCAUUCUCUAGCGUUCUUGUACUUGUCCCUCAAAUAUCUUGUUCUUGCACGAACAUGAUCAACUUUCACAGGCAUGCCAGUACUUUGACAAACCUCUUGAGCAACGCGAGCUAGGGUAUCACUCUUCCAUGUUCCAUCAAGAUGCCUCCCACCUGUGAGAUGUUCUUCCUUCAACACAUGGACAAGACAUUCGUCCAUUUUGGUCGUCCAAUUGAUUCGAGGUUCAGAAGCCGUGCCUAUAUCAGAUGAAAAUUGGGCAACAACUUCUGAACAAAUAUGAAGCAAUUUACAGAAAAACUUCACAAUAAUAAUUUAUAUUCUACUAAAAGAAAAAAACAAAAAAAGAAAAUACGAUCAGCUAAAAUGUUUUCUAAUGCUUUUUAAUCAAAAUAAAAAAGAUUAAGAACAACUAAAAUAGAAAAGAAUGAUCUAGCUAAUAUAGUAAAGAAAAAUAUGAGAUCAAUAAGCAAAGUCAAAGUAGAAACUAGUUUCACAAAAGGGGGAUUUCUCAUUAAUUCAUCACCAAAUUCACUUGAAACUUACAAUUAGCUAAAAAAAUCCUUCGUUAAUAGAAAAUUUGAACACAUUAUAAAAUCCAUAAAUUUUAAACUACAAACGCAUAACAUCACAAACAUAAAAUCCAAUUAAAACAUAAUAACAACAUAUCAAUGCUGAUUUCUAUGUUGAAACUCUUCAAACAUAUCCAAAGACAUAGCAUCUCUUUUCGCAGUCCAUAAUGCACUUCUUUGAAUAACAAUAUCUUCGUUAUCUUCCUCUUCAUAAAACUCUUCUUCAUCUUCACUCUCACUUUCACUAGAAUCAUCUUCACACAUGUCACCUGGAUCUCCAUCUCGUAUAAAGUUGUGCAAAGCACAACAAGCAAUCACUAUCUUCUCUUGUGUGUCUAUGUUAUGGAAAGGGGUAUUCCUCAAAUAGGCAAAUCUUUUCUUCAAAAGUCCGAUUGUCCUCUCAAUAACAUUUCGUAACUGAGAAUGAUAGUAGUUGUACAACUCUUUUGCAUUUCUAGCAUGACGACCUUCUUGAUCAGUUACAUGAUAUCUCACACUUCGAUAUGGUGUAAGGAAUCCACGCACAUUUGGGAAUCCAGCAUCGGCAAGAUAAUACUUACCUAUCAAGUUUAAAAGUUUUAUUGUUAAUCAAUUUUUUCAUAAUAGUAUAAUUAUAUUAGUAUAGGGUAUUUAUAUACUACCAGUGGGCACCGUUAACCUCCGUUCCCUAGGAGCAACUGCACUCCUCAACAAACGUCCAUCAUGUGCUGAUCCUUCCCACCCCACCAUUACAUAUGUAAAUUUCAUAUCAAAAGUACAUGCAACCAAGACAUUUUGAGAAAUAAACCCUUUACGAUUUCGAUAGCUUGGUUGAUCAAUCAAUGGUAUAUUUGCUGGGAUAUGUGUCCCAUCAAUCGCGCCAAUAGCAUCCUAUAUUAGAUAAACCACUUACUUUUAGCAUCCUCAGUAAAGUAACUUAGAAGUAUAUAUUUGGUUGCCAAUUUCACGGACAACUCACCUUGAAGUGAUGAUGCCAAGGCUGCCCAUAGCUUCCAUCGGCUGGAGAAUUAUCUUUUGUGGCGGGUUUCACAACAUCUUUAUAGAGUUUAAGAAAUGCUCUCAGAACCACAUGAAAGUAAUGACUGACAGUUUGGGUUGAUCGAAAGAAAUGAAGUUCAGAAUUACAUAGACGAGUAUCAUGACCAACCGUAUACAAGAAAAUGGCCACUUGCUCCUUCACUGACACGAAACGACUAUCCACUAACCCAUAAGAACGCAAACGAGCACAUAGUCGAUUAAAUGGGCCUAUUUUUAGUCUUAGGUUUUUAUGACAAAUCCGAUCACUCUCACUAUACAUUCUUUCAAGUAUUGCCGACCUCUCUUGAUCUCUAUUUCUAUAAGGACCCCUAAGAAACCUCCUCCUACGUAAACGACAAUAGAGAAUAGAAAAAUUCAUGAGGAUAGUCAUAAGAGCGGCAGCUGCACGUCGUUUUUGUUCUAGAGUGGGCAUUCCGUUAUAUGACUAAAAUCCAAAAAAAAUAAAAUUAAAUAAGAACCAAUUCACAUUCAAUGAAACAAAAUAGAUUUUCAUCAAUUACAACACACAAAUUAAAUGAAAUGAUGACUGUAGCUUUUGUGCAGGAAAACAGCUUGGAAAGCAAAUUUAUAAAUGAGGAAUCAUCAAUGAAAAAAGAAAGUAUUGUAAUAAUAGUCUAUUAAACAUAUAUGACAUAAGUACUGGACUACUGGGUAGUGGUUACCUCUGUAUUUGACUUGUAGACAUUGUAUAAGUAAUUUGGUAGGAUAUCAGAAUAAUGGAGCAUCACACUAAUGAGAAAGAAAUGGAUUUUAUGGUGAUCACCUUAGUAAAAAUCCGUUAUACGAAGUGCAGGAUGACAUAGAAGAUUACCAGUUCAUUCAAAUAUGAAGACCAUGUGAGUAAAAUAAUUCAAAGUGUUAAAGAAAGAUUACCAGUUCAUUCAAAUACAAAUACUAGAAAUUAAGUACUCCUGUACACUUGACACAAAAACACGCUAAAAAGUUUUCUUUAUUUGACAAGCUUUAGUGAAUUAAUCCUUUUCCAAACCUUGACAUGGUAUGGCAGUAUGCCAACUCAAGGUGUUAUCAGAGAAUGUGCCUAAAACUCUAUUUGCAAUUCCUGUGUAACUAUGGAUACGACCUUUCUACAAUCAAACUCAUUACUACUGUGCACAGUCGAUUUCAAUGUUCUGAUAACUCUACUAAGGAAAUGAUUUUUGAGCUCAACUACCCAACUAUUGCUAUUUCCCACCCAACCAUGAAAGGUAGUAAGUCUGUUAAUAGAAUGGUCACAAACGUUGGAGCUGAUGAUGAAACAACUUACACAGUAAGCGUAAUUUCUCCUGAUGGACUAGAUGUUGCAGUGAUCAGGACUUUUCUGCAGUCAUGGAAGCAUUGAAACCAAGGUUGCAAACCCCAAACUAAGAGACCACUCUCAUUCCACAUGUUCACUUGUUGGGUCUGUCAUGGUAGUUCCUGGCCGUGUUUGUAUUUAACUCGGUUUUCAUAUCCCUUGGUCAGGGAUUAACCAAGGACAGAUUGAAGUGGAAUUUUUUUGUGUCAAAACUCAAAACUACAGAGUAGUUAAAUGAAUCAAUAUUUCCACAUUCUGUAUUCCAAGUUUGUAUUCAACAAGUAUUACGAAAAUGGCUGGUAGCUUGUGACAGUCUACUCUACUAUUCAAAAUGGCUAGUAGCCUGGACAGUCUACUCUAUCAAGGUUUUACAUUCGGACAGUAUGUUGUAUUGAUAAACUUUAACAACCAACUAAAUUCAUAGAAAUGAUUGGAAGGCAGUCUUUAAGCUUAUGCUUCACCAUUACUGGACUAUGUGUCAUGUUAAAAAUCUAUCAUUAUUGUCUAAUUCAAUUAUGUGCCAUAAGACCACAUUUCAUUAUUACGCCUAAAAUACUAAAAUUCACAAAAGCUGGGAGCAAACUGAGCUACCAAGUUGUUUUCUCAACUACAACAUCCUCUCCAAGAAAUAGAACACUAAAUAAAGCUUUCGGAAUCAAAUAUAAACCUAAAGAUAUAUACCACCAAAACUUUAAACAUAGAGUAAAGCAAAUCCUACAAAAGAGAAAAAUAAUCAAGAGAAUCCAAGUGAAUAAGGUAAACAAUCCUACAGUUCUGCAGCUCAGAAAGAUAAAGUUUUCUUUAGUGUUUGGGGCUCCAUGAAUAAAAUAAGAGAGCUUGGUUCUUUAGAGUUUAGAUAACAUGAGUGUGGGCACUAUGAAGACACAGAUACACGCACCUUAGUAUACCUCUUUGGUAGGUUAGACUUGGGUUACUGAUUUCUUCCUUCAUUUAUGCUUUAAAAUGGGAUUAAUGAUUACUAAACACAAUUUUAUACCAUUAACAUCUUGUCUUCUUAUUUUAUUUACCUAAUCUGGUCAUCUAGUUGUAUACUUUAUACAGGUAUAUGUAGAAAUAUUGAGACCAGACCAUCUUGCUAGGGAGUGCAGUUUGAAAUCUGAAACCUAACCGAAUAAAUUUUAGUUUCAAUCGAAUUUCGAUUACACAUAAAUUUUCACUAUAAAUGCAGUACAUCCAAAUGUAAUUGAAUAGGACUUUUGAGUUGGAUGUUGAGUGAAUCCAACUCAAACUCAGAUCAGAUUCUGAUCAAAACCCUUAUCCAUAAUCAAGCUCAGAUAGAUCAUAGAUGUGAAUACAAAGAGAUCAUCUGAUACGUUGUUGUAAAAUUGGAAUAUUAAAGUGGUGAUCUCUAAGAACAACUAGGUCAAACCUCUUAAAUUGGAAUUAUCUCAACCCUUUUUAUGUGAAUGUGUCACCAAACAAGGGGACGAGCAACAACCCGACCACAAUCUAGGACAUUUUUAUAACCAAAUUUUCUUCAAAAAAACCAUACACUUGCAAUGUAAAGAUCUCCAAAACCCAUAUAUGUAUUGCUAUCUAUACCAAAUGAUUAACAACUUCGAUCAUAUAAAAAAUACAUACCUUCUGGCUUCUCCUUUCGACUUUUUUUUUCCUUCGCCAGCUUAACCUAAAACCCCAUUAACAAACAAAGAGAGAUUCAUUAGAGAAGAUUUGAUAUACAAAACUUGAAACGUUCAAAUUCAAGUUUAAAAUUAAUAACUCUUUUUACUUUUUAAACCUUCAAAUCAAUCUCAUUACCAGAUCUAUCAAUAACCCACUUUCAAAAAUCCAAUCUUUAUUCAAACCCACAUUCAAAAUGCACUCAAAUCAAUCUCAUUACAGUAAGUGUAGAAAUAGAGAGAAGAAGGAAUGAUAAAUCUAAAGCUAAUAAUGAAGGUUCAUUUAAGAAAAAAACAGUUUCAUUCUAAAUGACAAAUACAGAGAAAGAGAGUGAUUUAGGAGGAAGAAGAUAAGAAAAAUCUAAACAUAUUUUUCAUUGUAUUCCAUGAAUCUAAAAAUGGAGAGUUGGAGAACAAAAUCGAUUUAAAUUCAAAUUUGUUUAAAUUAAAAAAAAAACGAAUUUAAAAUAAUCCCACAAUCAAGUCGAUUUGAAUCUAUUCAUUACCUUGAUGAAAUCCCUGCUUGUAAAUGAUGGAGGAGAGAGAUGGUGCUUGUGAAUGAUGGAGGAAAGAGAAGAGAAAAGGGAGAAGAGAAAAGAAAAGAGGGAGAAGAGAAGAGAACGCAGAGAAGAGUCGGGGAAUUUUUUUUAGGGGUGGGCUAGGGAAUGUUUCGCGAGAAACAUUUUCACAAAGGAAUUUUUACGGGCCCAACUUAUCCAAUCAAACGGACAUUAGGAAAAUUUGAUGGUAAUGUUUGACGUGGGAAUUUUUCCCACGACCAAUCAAACACACCC